ensembl:lncRNA
CUGCCCUCCUCGGUGCCGGUAGCAGCCGACUCUGCGAUGCCGCCGGACGUCUCGCAUCUCCAGCCUGGAACUGAACACAGGGGUUUUUCUGCUUGAUGAAGUUGAUGGAGGAUCUCCUUCAUCCUUUCCUCUGUCAUCUCCUCGUCCUCGGAGCCUCCCUCCUGCUUUAUGUCGUCCAGCAGACUCUGCAGCCUCUCCGGAGUCAUCUCCUCUUCCUCCUCUUCUUCUUCUUCCUGCCUUCCAUUUCUGUGACCGGUGGGCGAGGCGGCGUCUUCCCUCUGACGCUCCAAAGCGACCCCUUGCCCCCCCUUCGGUUUUUCCCCGUCUCUUCCCUUCCCUGACUGCUCCACCGCCCUCCUGUCAUUAUCCGGCCUCUCGAAAUAAACCUGCCCCGGGUUUUCUUCUCGGGUGGUCAAGGUUGUGUCUUCAGCCCCAACGAUUGGGGGCUGCGGGGCCGUGGAGCCGGGGCCCGCGGCGACUGUGGGUGGGUCGCUGCUAGAUGUGCUGGUGGUCUGAGUGAGGGAGAGGUCGCUAGGUCUAGUUAGCGUGAUCUUGCUAGGGGAGUCUGCGCUAGCUUCGCCAUCGCUAAAGAAGUUGUCUGAGCGAAGCGGAGUGGGGGGCUGGAAGUUCAGGUCUGUGGAUGGCAGGAGUAAAGGAUUAAAGGGUGAGGGGAUUGAAGGGGGGAGGCGAGACAAAAAACAUUGGGAAGGGAGAAAGGAAGGAGGAAGGGAAGGGUUGAGUGGUGGAGGUGAUGAAAUGAGAAACACUUGUAACAUCUAACAUUUGUUCAAAAGUCAGACAGGUGUAACCCCGUCUUUCUGUGCUGUAAACACAACACUGACAUGUUAUCUCUUAUAUGAAGCUUCUAUGAAGUUCAUACGAAGCCCUUAUGCAGCUCAUAUGUUUGAAAAUACCCAUCAAGCAGAUAACAGAGAAACAUUAUCAUUCGUUUGCAGUCGUAUUUGAGUCCAGCAGAUGAAUUUGAACCCACUGUUUGUCUUUAAACAUGUUUUUGGUGCCCACCGACUUGAAAUAUCAACAUAGUAGAUCGCUCAGCAGAUAAACAGACAGAUAUUUCCAUCAGUAGUUGGUGGAGACCAAAAAUGGAGUUAAAAAAGAGAAAUUUUGACUUUCAGAAGCAAAGGGGAACAGAAACACGACUCCGGAAGAAUGCUGCUGCUUCUCAUUUGCUGGAUGUGUAAAUUAGCAGCUCCUUGUUAAAUUCAAGCUUUUGUUGUGUUUUCAAAGGUUUUGCCCCAAAGUGACCCAAAAAAAAGAACGCUGCUUUAAGGAAUCUCCACGUGUGAGGAUCCCUGUGUGACUGCUGGACCAGCGAUACAGAGAAGACACAUGGUCACAUCACCAUGGGGACAGAAACCAAAGACAGAAUAUGAAAAGGAAGAAACUUCACUUGUUCUGUAUGUGUAUUCCUAUUACAUGAACAUCAGCCACACUAUUGCCACAAAGGGCCCGUUAGGACGUGUUGUAGUCAGCCGAGCCCAGACUUUAGACAAGUAAAAUGCAACAAGAGUUAGUGAGGACGGGUUUCAGCCCUUUAAAACAACCCUGAGCUUGGCUCAUUGUCUCAAUAAUUAUAUAAUAAUUUAAUUCUAACGUAUGAGCAAAAGCUCAA